CCCGCACAAGCGGUGGAGCAUGUGGUUUAAUUCGAUGCAACGCGAAGAACCUUACCUGGUCUUGACAUCCACAGAACUUUCCAGAGAUGGAUUGGUGCCUUCGGGAACUGUGAGACAGGUGCUGCAUGGCUGUCGUCAGCUCGUGUUGUGAAAUGUUGGGUUAAGUCCCGCAACGAGCGCAACCCUUAUCCUUUGUUGCCAGCGGUUAGGCCGGGAACUCAAAGGAGACUGCCAGUGAUAAACUGGAGGAAGGUGGGGAUGACGUCAAGUCAUCAUGGCCCUUACGACCAGGGCUACACACGUGCUACAAUGGCAUAUACAAAGAGAAGCGACCUCGCGAGAGCAAGCGGACCUCAUAAAGUAUGUCGUAGUCCGGAUUGGAGUCUGCAACU
rnacentral:rRNA from 1 species